rnacentral:sRNA from 1 species
CGCCAAGCCCCGCCCCAGAUGAGUGCGCAGUAUGCGGACCGCUGGCCGGGACCCAGUGAGCGCGGGACUACAAUUCCCAAAGGACCGUAGCACCCAGCGCCCCGCCAACAGGUACCCGGCGGCUCGCUUCGCACACACGCGGCGGGCGGUGGCGGGAUUCUGCCGCGUGCGCUUUCCCGCGCCGCCUCGACUAGUCUUGUCCUGCGCUCGCCACGCCUCGGGCUGUCCGUUGGGCCACGCAGACCGCGCUGCGCUCGCUCCGUCGUGGCUCCGCGUGCCCCACCUUCUCGCUAGUUUUUUCUAGAGCCUAGGCUCCGCCCGUUUCCCGCUUUCAGGGCCCGGUUCGUUCCCGCCCCCACCCGUCCCUCUCCUCUGCACCCCUACUGCUUCUGCUUUGAAGGCGGAGGCUCCAUGUUGUCCCCUCAGCGAGUGGCAGCAGCUGCCUCAAGAGGAGCAGGUGAUGCCAUGGAGAGCAGCAAGCCUGGUCCAGUGCAGGUUGUUUUGGUUCAGAAAGAUCAGCAUUCCUUUGAGCUAGAUGAGAGAGCCUUGGCCAGCAUCCUCUUGCAGGACCACAUCCGAGAUCUUGAUGUGGUGGUGGUUUCAGUGGCUGGUGCCUUCCGAAAGGGCAAGUCCUUCAUUCUGGAUUUUAUGCUACGAUACUUAUAUUCUCAG